UGAUGUCGUCACCGCCAGCUCCCGGGGCCGCAGGACCGCCGAGCCCUUCCGUUGCCCUCACCAACCUCGCACUGAGGAGAAACUUUUUUCGGGAGGCAGCCCGCGCCAUGAGCAACACGGCAGUGGUCCCCAGCGCGCCAGGCCCGGGCCCGGGCCCCAGUGGCGGGCCGGGCGGCGGCACCGAGGUGAUCCAGGUGACCAACGUGUCCCCGAGCGCCAGCUCAGAGCAGAUGCGGACGCUCUUCGGCUUCCUGGGCAAGAUCGACGAGCUGCGCCUCUUCCCGCCGGAUGACUCACCUUUGCCAGUCUCCUCUCGUGUCUGCUUUGUUAAGUUCCAUGAUCCAGACUCAGCAGUUGUGGCACAGCAUCUGACAAACACUGUGUUCGUUGACAGAGCUUUGAUAGUCGCGGUCACGAAGCCGGUCAAGGAGGCGGUCACACUCCAAGUCCAGGAGUAGAAGGAGAUCCAAAAGUCCAAGACGGAGACGAUCUCAUUCGAGAGAGAGGGGUAGAAGGUCAAGGAGCACAUCCAAAGCCAGAGACAAAAAGAAAGAAGAUAAAGAAAAAAAACGUUCCAAAACUCCACCAAAAAGCUACAGCACAGCCAGACGCUCUCGGAGUGCAAGCAGUUUGCACAUUUGUGAUUCUAGAGAGAGAAGACGACGGCGAAGUAGGAGUGGUACAAGGUCCCCUAAAAAGCCCAGAUCUCCUAAAAGAAAGCUGUCCCGCUCACCAUCCCCAAGGAGACAUAAAAAAGAGAAGAAGAAAGAUAAGGACAAAGAAAGAAGCAGAGAUGAAAGGGAGCGAUCAACAAGUAAGAAGAAGAGGAGCAAAGACAAGGAGAAGGAACGAGAAAGGAAGUCUGAGAGUGACAAGGAUGUCAAACAGGUGACUCGGGAUUAUGAUGAAGAGGAGCAAGGCUAUGACAGUGAGAAGGAAAAGAAAGAGGAGAA
rnacentral:lncRNA from 1 species